UACGUAGGGUGCAAGCGUUGUCCGGAAUUAUUGGGCGUAAAGAGCUCGUAGGCGGUCUGUCGCGUCGGAUGUGAAAACCCAGGGCUCAACCCUGGGCCUGCAUUCGAUACGGGCAGACUAGAGUUCGGUAGGGGAGAACGGAAUUCCUGGUGUAGCGGUGAAAUGCGCAGAUAUCAGGAGGAACACCGGUGGCGAAGGCGGUUCUCUGGGCCUUACCUGACGCUGAGGAGCGAAAGCGUGGGGAGCAAACAGG
rnacentral:rRNA from 1 species